UACGGGGGGGGCAAGCGUUGUUCGGAAUUACUGGGCGUAAAGGGCGCGUAGGCGGCCCUCUAAGUCAGACGUGAAAUCCCACGGCUCAACCGUGGAACUGCGUCUGAUACUGGAGGGCUUGAAUCCGGGAGAGGGAUGUGGAAUUCCAGGUGUAGCGGUGAAAUGCGUAGAUAUCUGGAGGAACACCGGUGGCGAAAGCGGCUCACUGGACCCGAUCUGACACUGAGGUGCGAAAGCUAGGGUAGCAAACGGG
rnacentral:rRNA from 1 species